rnacentral:rRNA from 2 species
CUACGGGAGGCAGCAGUGGGGAAUAUUGGACAAUGGGGGCAACCCUGAUCCAGCCAUGCCGCGUGAGUGAAGAAGGCCUUCGGGUUGUAAAGCUCUUUCAGAUGCGAAGAUGAUGACGGUAACAUCAGAAGAAGCCCCGGCUAAUUUCGUGCCAGCAGCCGCGGUAAUACGAAAGGGGCUAGCGUUGUUCGGAUUUACUGGGCGUAAAGGGCACGCAGGCGGUCUUGCCAGUCAGGGGUGAAAGCCCGGGGCUCAACCUCGGAACUGCCUCUGAUACUGUAAGACUUGAGACUAGGAGAGGGUGGUGGAAUUCCCAGUGUAGAGGUGAAAUUCGUAGAUAUUGGGAGGAACACCAGAGGCGAAGGCGGCCACCUGGACUAGAUCUGACGCUCAGGUGCGAAAGCGUGGGGAGCAAACAGGAUUAGAUACCCUGGUAGUCCACGCCGUAAACGAUGAGUGCUAGUUGUCGGGACUUCGGUUUCGGUGACGCAGCUAACGCAUUAAGCACUCCGCCUGGGGAGUACGGUCGCAAGAUUAAAACUCAAAG